GACAGAGGGUGCAAACGUUGUUCGGAAUUACUGGGCGUAAAGCGCGUGUAGGCUGCCCUGCAAGUCGGAUGUGAAAGCCCUGGGCUCAACCUAGGAAGUGCAUUCGAAACUGCGGGGCUGGAGUCCUGGAGAGGAAAGCGGAAUUCUCGGUGUAGAGGUGAAAUUCGUAGAUAUCGAGAGGAACACCGGUGGCGAAGGCGGCUUUCUGGACAGUGACUGACGCUG
rnacentral:rRNA from 1 species